AGGUGAGGAUAGUAAAAUUCAGCUAAAGGGGACACCCACAUGGGAAAUUUUAACUCCUUUAGUUAACAUUUAGCAAAAUUUUCUAGCAGCUGAGAGCAGGGUCUUACUGUGUUGAGGCAGCGUAAAGCGUUUUUGUAGUGAGUGAUAACAGCUUCAUCUGCCACAGGUUCUCCCAGGCAGGAAAUACUGCCAAUGGCAGGGUGGAAGUUCAUGUAGCUUUUCUGUGGAUUGAGCCUUCUUUCUGACUGUGUUCUUACAUUUCAGUGAGGGCUGAAAAAAAGAAUAACUUCCAAAGGAACCACAGCACAGCAUGGAAAAACAUGUCAGUAAUUGCACAAGACGCAGUCUGGGUCGAUGCCGUAUCUUUAUGUGCUUGUCUGCCUGUUCAGUACGGAGACAUUUCUGCAUGCUGCACCAAUUCCUGGGCAUAUGUACCUCCUGAAGGGGACUGCCAGCAGGAAUUCUCCUCCUUCAGUCCUUUUGCCUGCCUGUGCUCAGAUCCUCUCACACACAGCUGCUGCCAAGCCCUAUCUGUGACCUCAGCCCAGCGAGUGCGUGCGUGGGCACAGCUUUGCACUUCUGGUGCUUCAGUGGCGUGUGAUGCUCACUGCCUUAUGCUCGAAUGGCUGUGAUUUGAUCUCUGAUAUCCCCACUCAGACUUGAAAAGAAGACAGUUUCCAGAAAGUGCUGCAGAGCCCCAGGCCAGGGAGCUGCGUCACAGCAGCUUCCCACAGGAAGGGAGGUGUCUGCACUGACCUUGUGCUGAUGAAAUCCUUGGCUGAUCCCGACAAGGUUCAGCUCCUGGAAUAUUAGUGACAAAGCUGACAUCCUCCGGACUCUGUGGAGCAUGACUGGGAACAGCACGACCUGCAGAGCCCAGGACUGGGAAGCACAAUUAAAUAAAUACCCCCUUUUCCCGUGCAUAAAGGGAGAAUUGAUACUCUGGUCAAAAAGCCAAGUGCUGUUACAGCAGUUCUUCAUUAUAGGCAUGUGCUUAUUGGCUUUAAUAAAGUGUCAGAGAGGAUGUCUAUGCA